GCAAACUUGGUCAUUUAGAGGAAGUAAAAGUCGUAACAAGGUUUCACUCGAACAGCAUCCUUCCGGGUCGCUUGCCGAAGCCUAUGCAACCCUCACGGGGUCCGCGACUAUAAACAUAGGAUGCAAGUCGCGAUAGCGGCAACAUAAUCGAAUUGCGGGGAUCUCCUAAAGCCUAGCAGUACCAACACCCUCCAGAAAUGCAGGGUGGGCCAGCGUUAAUCACGCUGGAGGUCAGAAUCUGCGAGGAUGCCUACAGAGUUCAUGCCCCUCGGGGUAGAUCUCCCACCCUUGUGUAUCAUUAUAGAAUGUUGCUUUGGCGGGCCGCGCCUCGUGCGCCUAGAUUCGCGUCUAGCGUGUCCGCCAGAGGACCCCUAAACUCUGAAUGUUAGUGUCGUCUGAGUACUAUGAAAUAGUUAAAACUUUCAACAACGGAUCUCUUGGUUCUGGCAUCGAUGAAGAACGCAGC
rnacentral:misc_RNA from 1 species